CCAGGAAUUUAUUGGGGUGACAGCGGGUGACAUUCCUGUCACCGUGCCAGGUCUGGGUGACAUCAGGCCACUGUGCCAGGUCUGGGUGACAUCCGGUGACAGCGGGUGACAGCGGGUGACAUCAGGUGACAGCCGUGUCACCGUGCCAGGUCUGGGUGACAUCCGGUGACAGCGGGUGACAUCAGGUGACAGCCGUGUCACCGUGCCAGGUCUGGGUGACAUCCGGUGACAUCUGGUGACAGCAGGUGACAGCUCCAGGUGGCAGCAGGUGACAGCCGUGUCACCAUGCCAGGUCUGGGUGACACCUCCAGGUGACACCCAGGUGACAUCGGUGUCACCGUGCCAGCUCCGUGUCCAUGUGCCAGCUCUGGGUGACACCUCCAGGUGACAUCGGUGUCCCUGUCCCAGCUCUGGGUGACACCUCCAGGUGACAGCCGUGUCACUGUGCCAUCUCCAUGUCCUCGUGUCACACGCGUGUCACCGUGCCAGCUCCGUGUCACACCUCCA
rnacentral:lncRNA from 1 species